AGAGCAGGUCGGGCGGUCGCUGCUACGAGCCUUUCGGGGCUUGGAGGAGAGGAAAGUCCGAACACUAUAGGGCAGCGAGCCAGCUAACGGCUGGGCAUCGGGCGAGAAACGGGCGGCUUUAUUGCCGAAAGUCCUUGCCGGAUGACGACAAGUGCAACAGAGAACAGACCAGCCAGCGGGUCGCAGGCGCUUUUCGGAGUGUCCGUGAUUGCGGGUGAUGGGUGAAACGGUUGCGGUAAGAGCGCACCGGCGUCUGGUGGUAACACCGGCGGCCAGGCAAACUCCUCGCAGUGCAAGACCAAAUAGGGAGGCGUCAAACAGGGCUGCCCGCCCGAUGCGUGCUGUCACAGGCGCGCUACGACCUCCGGGUAGGUCGCUCGAUCCAACUGGCGACGGUUGGGCUAGAUGAAUGAUCGCCGCUUCGGAGUAUUCCGGAGAACAGAAUUCGGCUUACAGACCUGCUCUCGUC
rnacentral:RNase_P_RNA from 1 species